CUUAUCUCCUGUCCAUCAUAGGGAUGGGCUGUAUACCUAUCUUCUUCAUCUCAUCCCCCUGUAGAGGAGAGGAGGAAGAGGAGGAGGAGGAGAGAGGAGGAGGAGGAGGAGGAGGAGGGAGAGAGGAGGAGGAGAGGAGGAGGAGGGAGGAAGAGGAGGAGGAGGAGAGGAGGGAGAGAGGAGGAGGAGAGGAGGGAGAGAGGAGGAGGAGAGGAGGGAGAGAGGAGGAGGAGAGAGGAGGAGGAGGAGGGAGAGAGGAGGAGGGAGGAAGGAGGAGGAGGGAGGGAGAGGAGGAGGAGAGGAGGAGAGGAGGAGGAGGGAGAGAGGAGAGGGAGGAGAGAGGAGGAGGAGAGAGGAGGGAGAGAGGAGGAGGAGAGGAGGGAGAGAGGAAGGAGGGAGAGAGGAGGGGAGGAAGGAGGGAGAGAGAGGAGGAGGAGGGGGAGAGAGGAGGCAGGAGGAGGAGGGAGAGAGGAGGAGGAAGGAGGGAGGGAGGAGGAGGAGGAGGAGGAGGAGGGAGGAGAGGAGGAGGAGGAGGAGGAGGAUGGAGGGAGAGAGGAGGAAGGAGGAGAGGAGGAGGGAGGAGAGGGAGGGAGGAGAGGAGGGAGAGGGGAGGACGAAGGAGGAGGGAGGGAAAGAGAGGAGGGAGGAGAGGAGGGAGAGAGAGGAGGGGAGAGGAGGAGGAGGGGAGGAGUAGGGAGGAGGAGGAGGGAGGGACGAGAGGAGAGGGAGAAGGAGGGAGCAGAGAGGAGGAGGGAGACGGAGGGAGAGAGGAGGUAGAGGGAGAGAGGGAGGGAGGAGGAGGGAUGAAGAGGAGGGAGGGAGGGAGGGAGAGGGAGGGAGAGAGGAGGAGAGAGGAGGAAGGGGGAGAGAGGAGGAGGAGGAGAAGAGGGAGGAGGAGAGGAGGAGGAGGGGGGAGAGAGGAGGAGAGGAGGAGGGAGGGAGAGAGGAGGAGGAGGAGGAGAGAGGGAGGAGGAGGAGAGGAGGAGGAGGGAGAGAGGGAGGAGGAGGAGGAGGGAGGAGGAGGAGGAGCGCAGGAGGAGGAGGAGGAGGAGGAGAGGAGGAGGAUUCAUAACCAGUUCAUU
rnacentral:lncRNA from 1 species